GAUGAACGCUGGCGGCGUGCCUAAUACAUGCAAGUCGAGCGAACAGACGAGGAGCUUGCUCCUUCGGCGUUAGCGGCGGACGGGUGAGUAACACGUAGGUAACCUACCUAUAAGACUGGGAUAACUUCGGGAAACCGGAGCUAAUACCGGAUAAUAUUUCGAACCGCAUGGUUCGAUAGUGAAAGAUGGCUUUGCUAUCACUUAUAGAUGGACCUGCGCCGUAUUAGCUAGUUGGUAAGGUAACGGCUUACCAAGGCAACGAUACGUAGCCGACCUGAGAGGGUGAUCGGCCACACUGGAACUGAGACACGGUCCAGACUCCUACGGGAGGCAGCAGUAGGGAAUCUUCCGCAAUGAGCGAAAGCCUGACGGAGCAACGCCGCGUGAGUGAUGAAGGUCUUCGGAUCGUAAAACUCUGUUAUUAGGGAAGAACAAACGUGUAAGUAACUGUGCACGUCUUGACGGUACCUAAUCAGAAAGCCACGGCUAACUACGUG
rnacentral:rRNA from 1 species